rnacentral:rRNA from 1 species
GACGAACGCUGGCGGCGUGCCUAAUACAUGCAAGUCGAGCGAGUCUGCCUUGAAGAUCGGAGUGCUUGCACUCUGUGAAACAAGAUACAGGCUAGCGGCGGACGGGUGAGUAACACGUGGGUAACCUGCCCAAGAGAUCGGGAUAACACCUGGAAACAGAUGCUAAUACCGGAUAACAACAGAUGAUGCCUAUCAACUGUUUAAAAGAUGGUUCUGCUAUCACUCUUGGAUGGACCUGCGGUGCAUUAGCUAGUUGGUAGGGUAACGGCCUACCAAGGCGAAUGAUGCAUACCGGAGUGGGGGGCUGGACCGGCCCCAUGGGAAUUGAGAAACGGCCAAACUCCUUAGGGGAGGAACAAGAAGGGAACUUCCACAAUGGGAGGCAAUCUUAUUGGAGAAACGCGGGGGGAGGGAAGAAGGGUUCCGGUCGGUAAAGUCUGUUGGUGGGUGAAGAAGGCAGGGGUAGUAACUGACCUUUGUUUGACGGUAAUCAAUGAGAAAGUCACGGCUAACUACGUG